CGAACGGAUUGUUAUCAUAGCUUGCUAUGAUAACAAUUAGUGGCAGACGGGUGAGUAAUGCAUAGGAAUCUACCUAGUAGUAUGGGAUAGCCACUAGAAAUGGUGGGUAAUACUGUAUAAUCCCUGCGGGGGAAAGAUUUAUCGCUAUUAGAUGAGCCUAUGUUAGAUUAGCUAGUUGGUGGGGUAAAGGCCUACCAAGGCAGUGAUCUAUAGCUGGUCUGAGAGGAUGAUCAGCCACACUGGAACUGAGAUACGGUCCAGACUCCUACGGGAGGCAGCAGUGGGGAAUAUUGGACAAUGGGCGCAAGCCUGAUCCAGCUAUGCCGCGUGAGUGAGGAAGGCCUUAGGGUUGUAAAACUCUUUCAGUGGGGAAGAUAAUGACGGUACCCACAGAAAAAGUCCCGGCAAACUC
rnacentral:rRNA from 1 species